AAUCACAGUGAGUGCAGGAUCCCUUGGAUUUUUUUAUUGAAAUAUAUAUAUAUUUAAAUAAAAAUCCAAGGGGUCCUGCACUCACUGU